rnacentral:lncRNA from 1 species
GAAAAAAAAUCACAUAACAUUUCAUUACAUAUAAGAAAAUAACCAUCACUGGAAGUUAACCAAUCAAAUUUCUCCCCUUAUUUUAUCUGUCUACAAGGUUUAGUCACCAUGUAACCUCAAGAUUACAAAAUAUUCUAUAGAAAUCCCAAAUAAAAAAAUAAUGGUGCUUUGAAAUACCCAAGACAUAUGUUUAUGACACAG